rnacentral:rRNA from 1 species
AGAGUUUGAUCAUGGCUCAGAACGAACGCUGGCGGCGUGCUUAACACAUGCAAGUCGUACGCGAAAGGGGGCAACCCCCGGUAGCGUGGCAGACGGGUGAGUAACACGUGGGUAACCUGCCCCGAGGUGGGGAAUAACUUUCCGAAAGGAAGGCUAAUACCGCAUGAUAUCGAGAGGUUCUCGGACCUUUCGAUCAAAGCUGGCCUCUGUUUACAAGCUAGCGCCACGGGAGGGACCCGCGCCCCAUUAGCUAGUUGGUGAGGUAACGGCUCACCAAGGCGACGAUGGGUAGCCGGCCUGAGAGGGUGAUCGGCCACACUGGAACUGAGACACGGUCCAGACUCCUACGGGAGGCAGCAGUGAGGAAUCUUGCGCAAUGGGCGAAAGCCUGACGCAGCGACGCCGCGUGGAGGAUGAAGGUCUUCGGAUUGUAAACUCCUGUCGUGCGGGACGAAUGCCCCGGUCGUGAACAACGAUCGGGGUUGACGGUACCGCAGGAGGAAGCCCCGGCUAACUCCGUGCCAGCAGCCGCGGUAAUACGGGGGGGGCCAGCGUUGUUCGGAAUCAUUGGGCGUAAAGGGCGCGUAGGCGGCCGAUCAAGUCGAACGUGAAAUCCCCCGGCUCAACCGGGGACCUGCGUCCGAUACUGUUCGGCUUGAGUCCCGGAGAGGGUAGCGGAAUUCCCAGUGUAGCGGUGAAAUGCGUAGAUACUGGGAGGAACACCGGUGGCGAAGGC